AUUGAACGCUGGCGGCAUGCCUUACACAUGCAAGUCGAACGGCAGCACGGGUGCUUGCACCUGGUGGCGAGUGGCGAACGGGUGAGUAAUACAUCGGAACAUGUCCUGUAGUGGGGGAUAGCCCGGCGAAAGCCGGAUUAAUACCGCAUACGAUCUACGGAUGAAAGCGGGGGACCUUCGGGCCUCGCGCUAUAGGGUUGGCCGAUGGCUGAUUAGCUAGUUGGGGGGGUAAAGGCCUACCAAGGCGACGAUCAGUAGCUGGUCUGAGAGGACGACCAGCCACACUGGGACUGAGACACGGCCCAGACUCCUACGGGAGGCAGCAGUGGGGAAUUUUGGACAAUGGGCGAAAGCCUGAUCCAGCAAUGCCGCGUGUGCGAAGAAGGCCUUCGGGUUGUAAAGCACUUUUGUCCGGAAAGAAAUCCUUGGCCCUAAUACGGUCGGGGGAUGACGGUACCGGAAGAAUAAGCACCGGCUAACUACGUG
rnacentral:rRNA from 1 species